UUGCACAAAACCAAUAUACUCAUUUCACUUUCGUGAAUGAGUCUAAAAAGAAGAAAAAUAAAAGAAUUGCAGAAGUACCUUAGUGGGAAAUGGUCGUGGGACAACAAAUCCGACAGUCUGCGCUUUGAGCAGCACCACAAAUUUCUGCGGACGAUUAAUCAGGAGGAGGAGGUGAUGUUUCGACAGGAAUUCAUGUGCUAACAGAAAAUUGACGCAUAUUUGCAUUGCAAUUGUGAUUAUUAGAAUAUGCAUAGAAAAUGCAUGCAUGUUCGAAUGUAUAGAAAAAAUAUUUAAAAUGCUCAGCACAGCUUGCCACGUCCUAUUGCCAAUUUGAAUGAAAUUUUCAGCAUGUGAACUAAAUGUUUUAUUGAAUGUUUACCAAUUAUAAAUAAUUGCAAACUCAUUCAUAAUACUGCUAUAUUUUAAGCUAACCUUCAAUUUUGAGAACUUAGCAACAUUGGAGUCGGUAUCUGCUAUAUGGCAAAAAUCAAUACACAAGUUAACAUACAAUUAUGAGAUGUGCUAGAAAUAAAUUAUAGAUCUGUUUUAAAAAAUAAUUUAAUAUUUGGAUACUCCUCGCGUUUUUCCCCUACUCACAUUCAAAUUAACAAAAAGAGUCUUCUGACUCAAAUGUAAAUGUGAUGUUCCACAUGGUUUAGUUCUAGUGCAAAUAACUAAUCUGAUACGUUCCGGCCGUGUCCGACUAGAUGUCAAGCAAAUUUAUUUUGUGAAAUCGAUACAGUUCGGAUACGCAUAUCUAUUUCAAUUCGUUGCAGUCACGCUUUCAAAAAGGGUAUAAAAUGGAAGGCCCAAGUCCGAAUGAUAUCUUCGUUUUAAAGGAAGCUACAAUCAACAUGAAACUGAUUCUGUUCACUGCUGUACUAGCUGUCUUGGCAUCGGCCUGCUAUGCUGUUGCUGCUGGCCCUAUACAUAGGUCAGACCCACCAGAACCAGAACAAUAAAAGCUGGAACUGGUUUUUGAAAUAUAAUGUAUAUUCAAAUAUACAAAUCAUAAUGCAGAAAUAA